AAGAACCACCAGGGAUUGCCCUAGUAACGGCGAGUGAAGCGGCAACAGCUCAAAUUUGAAAUCUGGCUCUUUCAGGGUCCGAGUUGUAAUUUGCAGAGGGCGCUUUGGCGUUGGCAGCGGUCCAAGUUCCUUGGAACAGGACGUCACAGAGGGUGAGAAUCCCGUACGUGGUCGCUGGCCUUCGCCGUGUAAAGCCCCUUCGACGAGUCGAGUUGUUUGGGAAUGCAGCUCUAAAUGGGAGGUAAAUUUCUUCUAAAGCUAAAUACUGGCCAGAGACCGAUAGCGCACAAGUAGAGUGAUCGAAAGAUGAAAAGCACUUUGGAAAGAGAGUCAAAUAGCACGUGAAAUUGUUGAAAGGGAAGCGCUUGCAGCCAGACUUGCCUGUAGUUGCUCAUCCGGGCUUCUGCCCGGUGCACUCUUCUAUAGGCAGGCCAGCAUCAGUUUGGGCGGUUGGAUAAAGGUCUCUGUCAUGUACCUCUCUUCGGGGAGGCCUUAUAGGGGAGACGACAUGCAACCAGCCUGGACUGAGGUCCGCGCAUUUUGCUAGGAUGCUGGCGUAAUGGCUGUAAGCGGCCCGUCUUGAAACACGGACCAAGGAGUCUAACAUCUAUGCGAGUGUUUGGGUGUCAAGCCCGAACGCGUAAUGAAAGUGAACGGAGGUGGGAACCCUUUAGGGCGCACCAUCGACCGAUCCUGAUGUCUUCGGAAGGAUUUGAGUAAGAGCAUGGCUGUUGGGACCCGAAAGAUGGUGAACUAUGCUUGAAUAGGGUGAAGCCAGAGGAAACUCUGGUGGAGGCUCGCAGCGGUUCUGACGUGCAAAUCGAUCGUCAAAUUUGGGCAUAGGGGCGAAAGACUAAUCGAACU
rnacentral:rRNA from 1 species